GAUGAACGCUGGCGGCGUGCCUAAUACAUGCAAGUCGAGCGAACGGACGAGAAGCUUGCUUCUCUGAUGUUAGCGGCGGACGGGUGAGUAACACGUGGAUAACCUACCUAUAAGACUGGGAUAACUUCGGGAAACCGGAGCUAAUACCGGAUAAUAUUUUGAACCGCAUGGUUCAAAAGUGAAAGACGGUCUUGCUGUCACUUAUAGAUGGAUCCGCGCUGCAUUAGCUAGUUGGUAAGGUAACGGGUUACCAAGGCAACGAUGCAUAGCCGACCUGAGAGGGGGAUCGGCCACACUGGAACGGAGACACGGUCCAGACUCCUACGGGAGGCAGCAGUAGGGAAUCUUCCGCAAUGGGCGAAAGCCUGACGGAGCAACGCCGCGUGAGUGAUGAAGGUCUUCGGAGCGUAAAACUCUGUUAUUAGGGAAGAACAUAUGUGUAAGUAACUGUGCACAUCUUGACGGUACCUAAUCAGAAAGCCACGGCUAACUACGUG
rnacentral:rRNA from 1 species